rnacentral:ncRNA from 1 species
CAUCAGAGAAGACAACAGGGAUUGCCCUAGUAACGGCGAGUGAAGCGGCAACAGCUCAAAUUUGAAAUCUGGCUCUCGGGCCCGAGUUGUAAUUUGUAGAGGAUACUUUUGAUGCGGUGCCUUCCGAGUUCCCUGGAACGGGACGCCAUAGAGGGUGAGAGCCCCGUCUGGUUGGAUGCCAAAUCUCUGUAAAGUUCCUUCGACGAGUCGAGUAGUUUGGGAAUGCUGCUCUAAAUGGGAGGUAUAUGUCUUCUAAAGCUAAAUACCGGCCAGAGACCGAUAGCGCACAAGUAGAGUGAUCGAAAGAUGAAAAGCACUUUGAAAAGAGAGUUAAAAAGUACGUGAAAUUGUUGAAAGGGAAGCGUUUAUGACCAGACUUGGGCUUGGUUAAUCAUCUGGGGUUCUCCCCAGUGCACUUUUCCAGUCCAGGCCAGCAUCAGUUUUCGCCGGGGGAUAAAGACUUCGGGAAUGUGGCUCUCUUCGGGGAGUGUUAUAGCCCGUUGUGUAAUACCCUGGCGGGGACUGAGGUUCGCGCAUCUGCAAGGAUGCUGGCGUAAUGGUCAUCAACGACCCGUCUUGAAACACGGACCAAGGAGUCGUCUUCGUAUGCGAGUGUUCGGGUGUCAAACCCCUACGCGUAAUGAAAGUGAACGCAGGUGAGAGCUUCGGCGCAUCAUCGACCGAUCCUGAUGUUCUCGGAUGGAUUUGAGUAAGAGCAUACGGGGCCGGACCCGAAAGAAGGUGAACUAUGCCUGUAUAGGGUGAAGCCAGAGGAAACUCUGGUGGAGGCUCGCAGCGGUUCUGACGUGCAAAUCGAUCGUCAAAUAUGGGCAUGGGGGCGAAAGACUAAUCGAACCUUCUAGUAGCUGGUUUCCGCC